rnacentral:lncRNA from 1 species
AAUAUGUUGGUAGGUGUUUUUGAGGCAGGAAUACAUAUGCUUCCUUCAAUUAAAACAAUAGGCCUCAGUGGAAUUCAAUCAAAGGAAGGAUACCUUUUGAAUUUGGAGAUGCUGCUAAUGCACAGUUCUUGAAUAUCGAUCUGUCUUAUAACCAUCUUUGUGGUAGAGUUCCCGAAUCUCUUUCGCAUUUGGAUGGAAUCGAUCUGUCCUACAAUCGUUUAGAAGGUCGAAUUCCACUAGACAUCUGGACUAAAUUUUCAAGGGAAUCGUUCUACGGAAAUUCAGAGUUACUUCUGCCAAAUGGAUCCAGGAUUGAGAUGGAGGAAACGAAACAUCCUCGAAUCCGGAUAAGUUAUGCUGUCAUUGGUGUGGUGAUACUAUUUGGAUGUGUGUUUUUGUUUUCAUCAGGUUUGAUUCUAACCUUUUACUUAAGAAGGAAAGCAGCCACACCUCAUAAUGACCAGAGACAUGGAGACAUAUUCAAGAUAUGGAACUUCGAUGGAAACAUCGCCCAUCAACACAUCAUCCAAGCAACAGCAGACUUCGAUUUCAGGUACUGCAUUGGAACUGGAGCUUACGGGAGCGUCUACAGAGCUCAACUGCCAACUGGAAAAGUCGUUGCUGUCAAAAAGCUUCACAGAUUCGAAGGAGAGAAUCCUAGUUACGACAUGUGCUUCAGGAAUGAAGCAAGGGUUCUCUCUGAGAUACGCCAUCGCCAUAUUGUCAAGCUUUUCGGUUAUUGCCUGCACAAGCGUAAUUGCAAAAACAUUUCUUUAACUUAAAAAGAGUAAUUUAUUGGUAAUAGCAAUACAUGUGUACACAACGACAUUAACACACAACACAUUCGACAAGCAAGACAUCGUUUUCUCAUUACCUUAGUCACAACAAUGAGGAUCACCCCCAUCUACGGCUCGACGACGAUCUUUCCGGUAGCAUGGCCGUCGAUGCUCUUCGCCCAGGCGGCUGCGGCUUCGCUCAACGGGUACUUGCAGUCGAUCACCGUCUUCAGCUUCCCCUGCUUCAUCAGCUCAGCGAGGAACUGCACAUUCUCCGCCUUGACAGAGUUGACGAACGGCACCAGUUGCUUCUUGGAGAACGUGAGCUUCUUCACGGCGAAAGUCCACAUGUGGCUCACCCCCGGCGUGAGCUCGAUCACCUUCCCGCUGGGGCUCAGGUUCGGCUCGAACACCGACCACGGGAAGGACGACGCGCACUGGAUCACCGCGUCGUACUUCUUGCCCGACGGGCUCUUGAGGGCCGCGCCCUCCGGGGUCUUGUAGUCGAGCACCUCGUCUGCCCCGAGGCUCCUCACGAGGUCGAUGUUGCGGGCCCCGCAAGUGGCGGUGACGUGCGCGUUCCCCAGCUUCGCGAGCUGGACGGCGAAGUGGCCGACACCGCCAGAGGCGGCGGUGACGAGGAUGUUCUUCUGGGGGCCGCUGCCGUCGAACUUGAGCCCAGCCGACGUGAGGGCCCCGUGAGCCGUGCAGCCGGCUAUGGGGAAGCUUGCUCCAUCAGCAGCUGAUACUUCAGGAGGCCUUGGAAACGUUACAUCUAUCUUAGCCACUGCAUAUUCUGCCAAACCACCUCCUGUCUGUUUCCAUCAAGAUUCAUGACCACAAUCAAAGAAAAUCCAUACAAAAGAUGCAAGAUAGAGCAAGAAACACCUCCAUCGAUCUAGAUCGAUGUAAAUCUUUAGUAAAUCCGCUAUUCUCACGAAAAGAAAUUUGCAGUGCCGGUCGACAUAUGGCCAAUUAUUUACAACCAUAAUCCAGCACAGAGCUAAACUCUGUCUCCAACAAUUACACCCAACUCGUUAAGUUUUUUAGGUGCAUUGCAGAGUCUUUUGGAAAAUCAAGCACCGCAAACAAUCAAAGGAUCUGCUACUGAGUAUAUAUUACUCCCUCCGUCCACUAAUUCAAGGCCUUCUUUUCUUUUUGGUCCGUCCACCAACUCAAAGCCUAUCUAUUUUUAGUAAAUUUUUAUUCAUAUUUUAAUUGGUGGGUCCCAAUAAACAAUACACUUUUUCUCCACUCAACUAAUAAAUAAUACAAUUUGUGGGUCUCUUUCUCCACUCAACCAAUAAACAAUACUCCCUCCAUCCCAAUAAUGAAGUCUCCUUUGUUUUGGGCACGGGUAUUUAGGAGAGGUAAAAUUGAUGUUAAAUGAGUAGGGACCACAUAAUUAGUGCUUUAAUUAGUGUUAUUUUAUUUCUUAAUUAAAUUGACUAAUCAAGUCUCUACGCCUCUCUCUCUGUACGUGAUUUCUGCGCCGUCGUUCGCCGGCUGUUUCAGCCGCCGGCGAGUCGCCGCCCUUAUUCCUUCUUAGGUCGGCAUCACUUCCCCCUUCCUCUUCACUGUCAUUCUCUCCAUUUCUCAAAAUCGAGCCCAAAUCUCUUCUCUCUCUUCUCGCCGUUCUCUCUUGCAAAACACACACACACAGAUAUCUGGCAGAACACACACACACAGAUCUCUCGCCGUUCUUCUCGCCGUUUCUCUUCUCUCUCUUCUCGCCGUUCUCUCUUGCAAAACUCACACACACAGAUCUUUGGCAGAACACACACAUACAUAAAUGCAUCCUCCACCACAAAAAUCAAAGAUACAUAAAAUUUUCAUCCCAAAAAUCAAAGAUGCAGAGUCCGGACGGACUGUAAGAGAGGCAGCAACGGUUCCGCCUGAAUCAGCAGAGAGCUAGGGCUCAUUCCGAAAGGGGGAAACUCGCCUGUGCAUUUCGGUGAGAGAGUAAGAGGUAGAGUGAGCGACGAUCUCGACGGUCUUUCUGAGAAGAGAGCAGACGACACGAGUCGGCCACUGCUCGCCGGAAAUCGAAAGCAGUAGCGAUGAUUUUGAUGAGAGCGUUAGGGCUCAUUUCGAAAGGGAAAACAAGGGCACGAUAUGAGAAAGGAAUUGGAAUUGAGAGAAAAGAGAGAGAGAAGAGCAGAUGUGGCGGGGAAGCAGCGCCGGUGACCGGCGUGACGGCGACCUCACCGGUCUUCCAGAUGCAGCGGCUUUCUCAAAGGGGAGAGAGGAAUUGAAGAGAGAGUGAGGAGAAUGAAGGCUGCGUGAAAGAAGAAGAGGAGAGAGAGAGAGUAAAUUGUUAAUUCAACUAAUUCUAUAUUAAUUUUUGCCAAAAAGGGAAAGGAAACUUGAAUAUUGGGACGGCCCAAAAAGGAAUAGGAGACUUGAAUAUUAGGACGGAGGGAGUAUAUUUUGUGGGUCUCUUUCUCCACUAAUCUAAUAAAAAUACACUUUUUCUUAAAAUUUGUGUUUUGCCUCUUAGAUCUUGAAUUAGAGGACGGAGGGAGUAUAAUUUUUAAUUAUAUUUUCUUCAAUUUUAAUUUAUUAUGCUUUAAUAUUAUAAAAAGAUAAUUACCAAGAAUUCACACAUCCAAUUAGGGUUUAUAAUUAUUUUUUAUAUUUAUUUGAAUUAACAAUUAAUUAUUUGGGUUCAUUAAUUCAAAGUUAGGGUAUAUAAUUUUUUAAAAUUUCAAUUUUGAUAAAUAUUAAUUAGAGUUCAUAAUAUAAUAAUAUUUUUUAUUUUUAUAAAAAAUAAUUCUAAAAUAAAUAAAUUAAGAGUGAUACACGGUGGUACACACAAAAUAGUGGGACAAAAGAUCCCAUCUGCCAGCACAUACGUCGGUCAAUAUUCAAUAAUGAGCUUUUCGAAAUGGAAAAACGUGUAUUAGAGUGUCUAGAAAAUCAAGUUGUGGAAUAGCUUGUAGUUUGGGUUGGAAAAUGAAUUUAAUGUAAUGGGGCUGUAAUAGCUAGUCACUACCCGAGUAGACUUCUAAGUCCAAGUCAAUUCAAUUAUUAAUAUACUCCACCUAAGUAUAAGAAUAUGGAGUAUGAAAGAAGAAGGAAUCAUAUCCUCACAAAUAAUAAAAAUGAUGGGUUUUGGGAUAAGUAGUCGCAUUUUGAUCAUGGCCAUAGUGUUGAUGAAAGCAGCAGAAGCAAGCAUGAGCAGAGAGAUGCAGGCAUUGAUGAAAUUUGGGUGGCCUCACAACUCCACAACUCAUCACUGCAAUUUGACUGGCAUUACUUGUGAUGAUGCUGCUCAUGUUGCGGCGAUGAGCCUCCAAGUUUGCUCUUAUCCUACUACUCUUCUUAGUUUAAACCAUUUUGAUGUGUUUGCUUUUCCACAUCUCACUAGAAUUCAUCUCACCUCAUGUUGCCUCAAUGGAACCAUCCCACCACAUAUAGGUUACCUCUCCAAACUAACUUAUCUCAAUUUGUCUCACAAUCCUCUAUAUGGUGAAUUGCCUGUGUCACUUGCAAAUCUCACUGAAUUGCAGAUACUUGACAUUUCUGAUAUUAUGGUCAUAUGUCUUAUGGCAUUUAUGGUGUCAUUCCGCCUGAGAUAGGAAGCUUAUCCAAACUAACUCAUCUCGAUUUGUCAUACAAUGAACUCAACAGUGAUCUGCCUCUCUCACUUGCAAAUCUCACUAACUUACAUGUGCUUGACCUUUCUUAUAACAGCAUUGUCGGUGUCAUUCCGCCUGAGAUAGGAAACUUAUCCAAACUAACUCAUCUCGAUUUGUCAUACAAUGGACUCAACAGUGAUCUGCCUUUCUCACUUUCAAAUCUCACUGAAUUGCAGAUACUUGACAUUUUCUCAUAGUCGUCAGUUUUAGACAUAAANGAUAGGUUACCUCUCCAAACUAUCUCAUCUCAAUUUGUCACACAAUCAACUGUACAGUGAAUUGCCUCUGUCACUUGCAAAUCUCACUAACUUACAGGUGCUUGACAUUUCUUAUAACGGUUACAAUUCUGGUGUCAUUCCGCCUGAGAUCGGAAGCUUAUCCAAACUAACUCAUCUCGAUUUGUCACACAAUGGACUCAACACUGAUCUGCCUCUCUCACUUGCAAAUCUCACUAACUUACAGCUGCUCGACCUUUCUCAUAAUAGAAUUGUCGGUGCCAUUCCGCCUGAGAUAGGAAGCUUAUCCAAACUAACUCAUCUCGAUUUGUCAGUCAAUAGACUCUACGGUGAUCUGCCUCUCUCACUUUCAAAUCUCACUAACUUACAGCUGCUUGACAUUUCUGAAAACAACAUUUCCAGUGCCAUUCCGUCGGGAAUAGGUUACCUCCAGCAAUUGAUUGUUCUUGAUUUGAGCCACAACAGCAUCAGUGGCUCUCUGCCCUCAACUAUGCGCCAAUUAACAAGAUUGGAAUUGUUGAAAUUGGACGGCAAUAUGUUGGUAGGUGUUUUUGAGGCAGGAAUACAAAUGCUUCCUUCAAUUAAAACAGUAGACCUCAGUAGGAAUACAAUCGAAGGAAGGAUACCUUUUGAGUUUGGAGAUGCUGCUAAUGCACCGUUCUUGAAUAUCGAUCUGUCUCAUAACCAUCUUUGUGGUAGAGUUCCCGAAUCUCUUUCGCAUUUGGAUGGAAUCGAUCUGUCCUACAAUCGUUUAGAAGGUCGAAUUCCACUAGACAUCUGGCGUAAAUUUCCAGAGGAAUCGUUCUUCGGAAAUUCAGAGUUACGUCAUUAUCCAAAUGAAGCCAAACAUCCUCGAAAUGCUGUUAUUGCUGUGGUGAUACUAUUUGGAUGUGUGUUUUUGUUUUCAUCAGGUUUGAUUCUAACCUUUUACUUAAGAAGGAAAGCAGCCUCUGCAGUCACACCUCAUGAUGACCAGAGACAUGGAGACAUAUUCAAGAUAUGGAACUUCGAUGGAAACAUCGCCCAUCAACACAUCAUCCAAGCAACAGCAGACUUCGAUUUCGGGUACUGCAUCGGAACUGGAGCUUACGGGAGCGUCUACAGAGCUCAACUGCCAACUGGAAAAGUCGUUGCUGUCAAAAAGCUUCACAGAUUCGAAGGAGAGAAUCCUAGUUACGACAUGUGUUUCAGGAAUGAGGCAAGGGUGCUCUCUGAGAUUCGCCAUCGCCAUAUUGUCAAGCUUUUCGGUUAUUGCCUGCACAAGCGGAGCAUGUUCCUCAUCUACGACUACAUGGAAAGAGGAAGCCUGUUUAGUGUGUUGAAGGACGAGAGCGAAGCCGUGGAGUUAGAUUGGAAGAAGAGGGUGAAUGUGGUGAAGGGCAUUGCAAAUGCACUAUCUUACAUGCAUCACGAUUGCACGCCGCCAAUUCUGCAUAGAGACAUUUCGAGCAGCAACAUCCUCUUGAAUUCACAGUUUGAAGGUUGUUUAUCUGAUUUCGGAACAGCUAGAUUGUUGGAUCCAGACUCAUCCAAUCGGACUCUACUAGUCGGAACUCGCGGCUAUAUCGCGCCAGGUAUCGAUAAACACAACUUGGAUGAAUUAAUACACAUUUUCCCCCCAUCAAUUUUCAUGAUAGAUAUGUUUGCUGCUUGCAGAACUAGCCUUUACCAUGGUGGUUACAGAGAAAUGUGAUGUGUACAGCUUCGGAGUUCUGGCACUGGAAAUCGUGUGUGGGGACCACCCAGGGGAUUUCGUAUCCUCCGUGACCACGAUGAAGGGAUCAUCCUCAUUCGCACAGUUUGCUCAAAACUUGAUGGUGCAACAACUCCUGGACAAGAGACUAGCAUCUCCAGAUGAAGAUGUAAGAGUGUCCCGGGAAAUCGUUGGAGUGGUGAAAAUAGCUCUCAAAUGCGUAAGUUCUGAUCCGAAAUCGCGGCCGUCUAUGAAGGAGGUGUCUCAGGAACUCGCUGCGAACCCGCCACGCUUGUCGAUGCCCUUUCGCUCCAUAUCAGUGCUGCAGCUGAUGCAUUCAGAUUGAGCUCACAACUGCUUUUUUUUAACUAAUAAGCUUAAAGAUAGAUGUUGAAGUGCUUAUGAUACAUACUAGUACUAGGUUUGUUAAGGGUGUCCUCAACUGAACUGGAUCAAAAUAUUGAAAACUUGUUCACACUGGAUGGUGCUGAAGGUGAUAUUGAUCAUUAUUAUGAGUAUCUAUCUUUGAGUUGGAUGUUUUUCUUGUAAUGGUAGUGGCA